UUUCCCUCAGGAUAGCUGGUGCACGUAGCGUUUCGAACCUUAUUCUUAUCUGGUAAAGCGAAUGAUUAGAGGCCUUAGGUUCGAAAUGAUCUUAACCUAUUCUCAAAUUAUAAAUGGGUACGGUACUGGGUGGCAUGUAUCAUACGUGGGACUGACUAUCCUGCUAUGGGGGGGAAUCAAUUAGUCACUGAAAGCCAAGCCCACAAGUGGGUACAGGCAGGCCUUGACCGACAUCGGUUGUUGAGACAAAUCAGAAGAAGAAGAACCAGUGUAUCA
rnacentral:rRNA from 1 species